ACGGCGCUGAAUCAAGGCUGAUGGCUUGAUGUAGCUGUUUGCUUCAAACAGGAGCCAAAAGUAUAUUCUUCCUGUGGUUUGUUAGAUGUUUUAUUUGCUUCUAAUAUUUCCAAUUGCUUUGGAAGGAACAACU